CGGGGUAAAAGGAGCAAUCCGGUUUGGGGUGGGCUCGCGUCCGAUUAGCCAGUUGGCGGGGUAACGGCCCACCAAAGCGACGAUCGGUAGCCGACCUGAGAGGGUGAACGGCCACAUUGGAACUGAGAGACGGUCCAAACUCCUACGGGAGGCAGCAGUGGGGAAUAUUGGGCAAAGGGCGAAAGCCUGACCCAGCAACGCCGCGUGAGGAAGAAGGGCUUCGGGUUGUAAAGCUCUGUUAUAGUUACGAAGGAA
rnacentral:rRNA from 1 species